rnacentral:piRNA from 1 species
UAAAUAGUUGAAAAAAAUAAU